AACAACCCACCCCCACCACUAUUCUCCUCCUCCUCCUCUUCGGUUGGUUCCCUGGGAGACCACCGUGAGACAAGAUAAAUGAGCAGCAAGGUUUUUGAAGCCAGUGCUCAGGAACAACACCUCUAAGAAAAUAAAGGAAGCAGGACUGAGCUGCAGUACAACUGUCAUGCAAUCGGGGCAACCUCAGUGUAGCGACCCAGGCAGAAAGUACUUCUCUCUCCCUGCAUCAAGGGAUCAGUCUCAGGAAAGGAGAGGGAUUGGUGUAGAUUGGGUCCCGUGCCCACUCCCUGGUCCAAUCACUGUGGCCAGGGGAUGAGUGAUUAUGAUUGGCCAGCCCCAGGUCACAUGGCCACAAAUAUCAGGGGAACGGAAAAGCUUGCUGGACAGACGAAAACAACAGGACCGUAAGAAGGAAUACAAACAAUCUUUCUUCUGCAGUCUUGGAGCAAACAGGUGCUGAUAAAAUCAACAUUAGUUCAAGCCUCACCCCCAAAGUUGAACUGAGCCUGAACCUUUCUGAAGAAUGAAGAAUGUUUAGCAAACAUUCCCCUCCAGU
rnacentral:lncRNA from 10 species